rnacentral:rRNA from 1 species
GACGAACGCUGGCGGCGUGCUUAACACAUGCGAGUCGAACGCUGAAGCUUGGUGCUUGCACUGGGUGGAUGAGUGGCGAACGGGUGAGUAAUACGUGAGUAACCUGCCCUUGACUCUGGGAUAAGCCUGGGAAACUGGGUCUAAUACUGGAUACGACAUGUCACCGCAUGGUGGUGUGUGGAAAGGGUUUUACUGGUUUUGGAUGGGCUCACGGCCUAUCAGCUUGUUGGUGGGGUAAUGGCUCACCAAGGCGACGACGGGUAGCCGGCCUGAGAGGGUGACCGGCCACACUGGGACUGAGACACGGCCCAGACUCCUACGGGAGGCAGCAGUGGGGAAUAUUGCACAAUGGGCGAAAGCCUGAUGCAGCGACGCCGCGUGAGGGAUGACGGCCUUCGGGUUGUAAACCUCUUUCAGCACGGAAGAAGCGAAAGUGACGGUACGUGCAGAAGAAGCGCCGGCUAACUACGUG